UUGGAACUUGGCAGCUCCAUCAGUGCUCCACGUGAGUCAAGACAGAAUCUGGUGCACCAAAAAGCUGCAGAUGUUGCACACAUGCUCUAAACUCUUUUUCCCCUGGGAGAGAAUUCAUGGGUCAAGGUGAUCUUGCUCAGCUCUCAGUUUUGCCAGCUUGGGGAAUGAGCUGAAGCAGGUGCUUUCCAUUACUGGACUCAACAAGAAGUAAAGGGCACAGGAGGCACAUACCACGCAAUUGUACAGGUUGGCUGGAUUUAGCUGGGCAGUCCUUCACUAACUGACACUCUAUUUGGGAUGACUCAUGUGGCUUCACUCAAUGGUGAGCUCUGCUGGGCUGUGACAUUAGAGAUGGCUUUACUUACUUGUCUAGGACAUGGUUGCUGGUAGCCAGCUGGGGAGCCAUGACUUUUUGUUUAUGUGACUUCUGUUUCCACAUGGCUUCUCAUCAUUCAGUAGAGAAACCUUAGUUUCUUUACAUGGUGCCUGGGUUCCAAGACAGCAAAAACUCAGUUCUUAUGACCUAAUCCCAGACCUGGCACAAUGUUACUUUGGUCACAUUCUAUUGACCAAACAAUUUCUGAGGCCAGACAUAAACUCAUCUCUUGAAGGGAGGAGAGCCAUGCCCAGGUAUGGAUGGGGGGAUUGUGGUUGGCCAUCUUUGGAGACAAUCUUCCAUUCCUAUCCUGGCCUAAAUUUCAAAUCUAAGCAAAGGGUAGAGUUUAAAUACAACUCAUAGGUUGAGAAAUAGAAAUACUUUUGGCAAAAGAACAAGAUAUCAUGUAGUCCAGGGCAGAACGUUUUUGUGAUUAAAGUAAUAUGACUUAUUAGAGAGAUUCAAAGAUGAGACCUGGAAGAUACGCCUGACUUGAAAUUAUCCGGCUUAUUAUACCUCGAUAUCUAUGAGUCAGAAAAUGUAUUGAAUAUGUUCAGCCUAAUCCUUUUUUUGCUACUAUUAGGACUUAUGACUAUGCUUGUCAUCACAAGAUAGUUCAAGUAUUUGUACUUCACAAGGGGAAGAGUAAGUUUUUUAACAUUUAUUGAUCAAACGUUUUGUGUCACACAAUUUAGCUUAUUUAAUAUUCAUGAUAACCUAAUGAAGUAUCAGUAUACUCCAUUUGUUCAUUCAAUUAUUUUUUAUAAUACAGCUUAUUAUAUUCUAAGCAUUAUUUGGGGCAUAAAAAUAUGGCAGAUAGCAAAAUAGACAAAGAUUCAAUCCUCCCAAAGCCCACAUACAAGUGAAGAGUAAGAAUUAUUUUAAUGUUUGUUCAUUGUCUGUUAAUUGACAAUCAAUAUUGUAAAGAAAAUGUACACAUUGAACAAAUCCUACAGGAUUUCACAUUAUUUGAGAUGAUUACAUUGUACAUUAUUCCUGAUGAACAUAAAAGAUAUUUGAUGAGGUGAUAUUUGAUUAUAGUUUGAUUUUUCAAAAUUAAUGAAGCCAAAAGCUUUUAUCUCACCAUUACGCCCCUCUGUCUGAUGCCUACCCUUUUCCUGAAAUAUAAUAAAAAUACUGGCAUUUUAAGAUGA
rnacentral:lncRNA from 1 species